rnacentral:misc_RNA from 1 species
AAACAUUCAAAGUGGAGAUCAGUUUUGCUGCUAAAAUACCCAUGCAAGCCAUUGCAAAUGCCCUUCGGGGACAGGAGUCAGAGAACUCUCAAGAAGCCAUAAGGGUUCUGGAUAUUAUAUUGCGUCAGCAUGCGGCUAAACAGGGCUGCCUCCUUGUUCGCCAAAACUUUUUUCAUAAUGAUCCAAGGAAUUUCGCAGAUGUUGGGGGUGGUGUUUUGGGCUGUAGAGGGUUUCAUUCAAGUUUUAGAACCACUCAGGGGGGCUUGUCUCUGAAUAUUGAUGUAUCUACAACCAU